UAAAGCAAAUGGUGAAAUCUGGGGGCGUCAACCUCACAGACUAUUAUUUGUAACUCACACACUCGAGAGUAGCAGAGGUAACUGGAAUUUCUGAAGUAGGGGUAAUAUCCGUAGAUAUCAGAAGGAACACCAAUGGCGUAGGCAGGUUACUGGGCUAUUUCUGACGCUGAGGCACGAAAGCGUGGGGGAGCGAACCGGGAUUAGAUACCCGGGUAGUCCACGCCGUAAACGAUGGAUACUA
rnacentral:rRNA from 1 species